rnacentral:rRNA from 1 species
AGAGUUUGAUCAUGGCUCAGAAUGAACGCUGGCGGCGUGCUUAACACAUGCAAGUCGCACGAGAACUCUUCUGCUUGCAGAAGAUAGUAAAGUGGCGCACGGGUGAGUAACGCGUGGGUAAUCUACCUCUGAAUUGGGGAUAACAUUGUGAAAGCGAUGCUAAUACCGAAUAAUAUCCCGAGAACUUAGGCUUUUGGGAUCAAAGGUGGCCUCUACAUGUAAGCUACUGUUUAGAGAUGAGCCCGCGUACCAUUAGCUUGUUGGUAGGGUAAUGGCCUACCAAGGCAACGAUGGUUAGCUGGUCUGAGAGGAUGAUCAGCCACACUGGAACUGACACACGGUCCAGACUCCUACGGGAGGCAGCAGUGAGGAAUUUUGCGCAAUGGGGGAAACCCUGACGCAGCAACGCCGCGUGAGUGAUGAAGGCUUUCGAGUCGUAAAGCUCUGUCAAGUGAGAAGAACCUACUUUUUGUUAAUACCAUUAAGUACUGACGGUAUCACUGAAGGAAGCACCGGCUAACUCCGUGCCAGCAGCCGCGGUAAUACGGAGGGUGCAAGCGUUAUUCGGAAUUAUUGGGCGUAAAGGGCGCGUAGGCGGUCUUUUAAGUCAGAUGUGAAAGCCCGGGGCUCAACCCUGNAAGUGCAUUUGAAACUAAUGGACUUGAGUAUGGGAGAGGGAAGUGGAAUUCCUGGUGUAGAGGUGAAAUUCGUAGAUAUCAGGGGAACACCGGUGGCGAAGNNNACUUCCUGGNCCAAUACUGANNCUGAGGNGCGAAGGNGUGGGGAGCAAACAGGAUUANAUACCCUGGNAGUCCACGCAGUAAACGNUGAACA